AACGCUAGCUACAGGCUUAACACAUGCAAGUCGAGGGGAAACGAUAUUGGAAGCUUGCUUCCGAUAGGCGUCGACCGGCGCACGGGUGAGUAACGCGUAUCCAACCUGCCCACCACUUGGGGAUAACCUUGCGAAAGUAAGACUAAUACCCAAUGACGUCUCUAGAAGACAUCUGAAAGGGAUUAAAGAUUUAUCGGUGAUGGAUGGGGAUGCGUCUGAUUAGCUUGUUGGCGGGGUAACGGCCCACCAAGGCGACGAUCAGUAGGGGUUCUGAGAGGAAGGUCCCCCACAUUGGAACUGAGACACGGUCCAAACUCCUACGGGAGGCAGCAGUGAGGAAUAUUGGUCAAUGGACGAGAGUCUGAACCAGCCAAGUAGCGUGCAGGAAGACGGCCCUAUGGGUUGUAAACUGCUUUUAUAAGGGAAUAAAGUGAGUCUCGUGAGACUUUUUGCAUGUACCUUAUGAAUAAGGACCGGCUAAUUCCGUGCCAGCAGCCGCGGUAAUACGGAAGGUCCGGGCGUUAUCCGGAUUUAUUGGGUUUAAAGGGAGCGUAGGCCGGAGAUUAAGCGUGUUGUGAGAUGUAGACGCUCAACGUCUGCACUGCAGCGCGAACUGGUUUCCUUGAGUACGCACAAAGUGGGCGGAAUUCGUGGUGUAGCGGUGAAAUGCUUAGAUAUCACGAAGAACUCCGAUUG
rnacentral:rRNA from 1 species